AACAGAUUUGCACUUCUCUUUUUCAGAUAAAGAUGCAUCUACUCCAUCAGCCACACAAGCAUAUGGCCUUUGAGACACGAACCUUCGACCCAUAGGUUUCCUAUCUUCACCUAGAAUUUCAUCACACCACUCUAGAUAGCCACAUCCAGUCUCAUUCUGGUGGUUAAUAUCAUAAGAUAAAUGUGUGUUAGAUAUAUGCUUACAAAUGAAUACCAAUAUACUUCUACAUUAUAUCAAUGAAUAAAUCACAUAUCUUCCAAUUAGAGCAUUUAUAGAAUGCCUAUUGUUGUUAUCAUGUGUCUUUACAAUAAACACACGCAUCCGACCACAUCCUGGUUUGCAUUUACAAAUCUUUGGAGGGAAUUGGUUGUCAAGAUCCAUUCUAUAAAGAAGUCAUAACGAAUAUAUUAAAAAAAUCAUUACAAACAUUCUUAAUCCAUUUAUUUGAGAUGGUUAACAAUGGGAACAAACCUAAUAGAUAUAAUUUUAAUUCAUCAGGAAGAAGGAAAAACAAUUUGUGUUCUUGUCAAAUUCAAUGAAAUUGAAUAUUAAGAGUUUCAUAAUUAGAUAAUACAUAAAAAAAAAAGAGUUUAUUGGGAUUCUAUAAAAAGUAUUCCAUAAAAAAAAAAACGAAUGAGUUAACUAAAGAAGCAAACUGCAUAUUUGUGGUGAACAUAGUGGCAAUAUAAUUACAAUUCACAUUAGCUAAAAGGAUUUUGCAUUUCCAACAAACUUUGCAUAAUAUGAGUCAUGUUAAAAACAAUAAUAAAUAUUAUGACUUAGAUUUAAUUGUGCAAACCAAAAUCAUCAUAAGACUCUCCAAACCAUUAAAUACAAAGGUUAACAACCCCAUCUGUACAAGUAUACCCUAAAAAUCAGAUAAAGAGAGAAUAAAAAUCUUGGUGGAUUCUACCAAAAUUGUUUGGGAUUCCACAAAAAAACCCAAACUCCCCCCAAAUCAGUGAUGGAAAUUGAGAACUCAGAGAUUGUAUGAGUCAAAUACAUAGAGAUAGAGUACCUGCGUGAGAUAAAGCACCUAUCAAUGGGGAACUUGAGGGACGAGCCUUUGGACAUGGAAGACGAUGGGAUGAUCUGAGCGAUUAGGGGAGCGAGAGGCAGAGAGGGUGUGCGCAGCAGCAAGAGUGGCAGAGAGAAUGAGAGGCGCUUGGCACAGGGAACCAUAGGCAGGGUGCACGAGAGGGGCUAACUAGGGAGGAGAGGUUUGGCAAAGGGAAGAGAAAG
rnacentral:lncRNA from 1 species